AUUGAACGCUGGCGGCAGGCCUAACACAUGCAAGUCGAACGGUAACAGGAAGCAGCUUGCUGCUUCGCUGACGAGUGGCGGACGGGUGAGUAAUGUCUGGGAAGCUGCCUGAUGGAGGGGGAUAACUACUGGAAACGGUAGCUAAUACCGCAUAAUGUCGCAGGCCCAAAGAGGGGGACCUUCGGGCCUCUUGCCAUCGGAUGUGCCCAGAUGGGAUUAGCUUGUUGGUGGGGUAACGGCUCACCAAGGCGACGAUCCCUAGCUGGUCUGAGAGGAUGACCAGCCACACUGGGACUGAGACACGGUCCAGACUCCUACGGGAGGCAGCAGUGGGGAAUAUUGCACAAUGGGCGCAAGCCUGAUGCAGCCAUGCCGCGUGUAUGAAGAAGGCCUUCGGGUUGUAAAGUACUUUCAGCGGGGAGGAAGGGAGUAAAGUUAAUACCUUUGCUCAUUGACGUUACCCGCAGAAGAAGCACCGGCUAACUCCGUG
rnacentral:rRNA from 1 species